rnacentral:rRNA from 1 species
UACGUAGGUGGCAAGCGUUGUCCGGAAUUACUGGGCGUAAAAGCGCGCGUAGGCGGUUUUGGAAAGUCAGAUGUGAAAGCCCCGGGCUCAACUUGGGAACUGCAUUUGAUACUGCCAGACUAGAGUACAGAAGAGGUGACUGGAAUUCCCAGUGUAGCGGUGAAAUGCGUAGAUAUUGGGAGGAACACCAGAUGCGAAGGCGGCCUGCUGGGGUGGAAGACAGACUUCGUGUCUGAUCGGCUGACGCUGGAGGGCGCGAC